rnacentral:rRNA from 1 species
AACGAACGCUGGCGGCAUGCCUAACACAUGCAAGUCGAACGAGACCUUCGGGUCUAGUGGCGCACGGGUGCGUAACGCGUGGGAACCUGCCCUUAGGUUCGGAAUAACUCCCCGAAAGGGGUGCUAAUACCGGAUAAUCUCUUCGGACCAAAGAUUUCUCGCCUUUGGAUGGGCCCGCGUUGGAUUAGCUAGUUGGUAGGGUAAAAGCCUACCAAGGCGACGAUCCAUAGCUGGUCUGAGAGGAUGAUCAGCCACACUGGGACUGAGACACGGCCCAGACUCCUACGGGAGGCAGGAGUGGGGAAUAUUGGACAAUGGGCGAAAGCCUGAUCCAGCAAUGCCGCGGGAGUGAUGAAGGCCUUAGGGUUGUAAAGCUCUUUUACCCGGGAUGAUAAUGACAGUACCGGGAGAAUAAGCUCCGGCUAACUACGUG